UCUCUUUAAUUUACUACAGAAGAAAGUAGGAGAGGAUACCUGAUUUGGACUCACUCUUACAUUAAAAUCUGGUCCCUCAAGCUACAUAACAGAAGUCUGAGCUUCUAGACUUAUCUGUGUAGCACUUGUUCAUGGACACUAUGAAUGAUCACAUAUACACUAGAAGCUUCACGUACAAUCUAGGAUAUUAAGUGCCCAGUAAAUGUUUAUUGGUGAUGUCAGUGCCAGCUUUACAGCUUUGGACAUAGGAACAAGCUACUGGCUUCCAUGAGCAUCUGCCUACGAAGGUUUACAUGGAAGAGAGAUAGAUCACGAUGUCAGUGAUCACUUCUAGUUUUGGUGAUUUUUUUCAGGGUCAGAAGAGUCAUCAAGUUCUUCAGAUACUAUGAUUGAUGGUGGACGCCAGCUCAAACGGACAAAGCGACUAGAAACCAAGACAGGGACCACAUCUCUGGGAGCAGAAGGGAGGAUGCUGGAGCUUGGGAUGG
rnacentral:sRNA from 1 species